rnacentral:rRNA from 1 species
GAUGAACGCUAGCGGCAGGCUUAACACAUGCAAGUCGAGGGGUAUUGGUUUUCGGACCAAGAGACCGGCGCACGGGUGCGUAACGCGUAUGCAAUCUACCUUUUGCAGAGGGAUAGCCCAGAGAAAUUUGGAUUAAUACCUCAUAGUAUGUGAGAAUGGCAUCAUUUUCACAUUAAAGUCACAACGGCAAAAGAUGAGCAUGCGUCCCAUUAGCUAGUUGGUAAGGUAACGGCUUACCAAGGCUACGAUGGGUAGGGGUCCUGAGAGGGAGAUCCCCCACACUGGUACUGAGACACGGACCAGACUCCUACGGGAGGCAGCAGUGAGGAAUAUUGGACAAUGGGCGCAAGCCUGAUCCAGCCAUGCCGCGUGCAGGAUGACGGUC